rnacentral:rRNA from 1 species
UACGUAGGGUGCGAGCGUUGUCCGGAAUUAUUGGGCGUAAAGGGCUCGUAGGCGGUUUGUCGCGUCGGGAGUGAAAACCCAGGGCUUAACUCUGGGCUUGCUUUCGAUACGGGCAGACUAGAGGUAUGCAGGGGAGAACGGAAUUCCUGGUGGUAGCGGUGAAAUGCGCAGAUAUCAGGAGGAACACCGGUGGCGAAGGCGGUCUCGUGGGCGAUUACCUGACGCUGAGGAGCGAAACGUGUGGGG